UGAUAAGAAGCUCUAGAAUUGUUCAGUGCUGGGCCCUAUUGUUUGACACUGGAUGGAAAUAACGUCUGCAUAUCCUAACAGUACGGCAUUCAUAUUCGCAUCAAGCACACAGUGAUAUAUUAGUAAUAUCGACUAUGCAAUGUAUGCGAGCUUCACUGGUGUUUCUUAUUAUUUUUUUCACCGAUGCCGUGAGUUCGCAAGAAAAUCCUUCGAGAAAACGACCGACAAUCUACUCUAUUAGGCGAUUCGUGAUCACGCCGCAACGCAUAUGGACGUACAGAGUUAGUAAAGCGGGACGGAUUCGCUGCCAGUUCAAUCAGAUUCGCACUGCAACUCCUCUUGAAUUGUUUACAACAAGACCUUCUUGUGUCGCAGAGGAAGGCGCAGCACUUCACUGAGGGGAGAGUUUGAUGCUCAACGAGGGAACCGGAUGGAUGUUAGAAGUGACGAUUUGCAACGCAGAUUUAUUAGCACAGAAACACUGCUGUAUCUAGCCGCCAAGAUGUCAUGUGGUGUAUUAAAGAUCGAGACAGC